CCCUGUUUAAAUUUUUCUUGCUUCCUAGAUAUGUAUAACAAAAUAUGACCUUUCAUAAAAAGUGGACUUGGCAACUUUUCACCUAAGCUAGCGAAGAGUUGACUUUGAAGUCCCAAAGCUGUGCGAAUAUUAUAAACAAUAUAAAAUGAAAUGUGCUACUAAACCCAGUGAAGAGUUGGUAAUGGAAGUAAGAUAUACAUUUGAAAAAAUAUUAAGCACUUUUUAGAUUGUUAGGCACACAAACAGUUGUGUACUUUACUUUGUUUAUUGUAGGCAUACAUAUAUCCAGCUGAGCGCUUCGAAUAUGGUGUGGAACAGGACUUCCACAGCAAUACCUCGGAAGAGCGUUUUACGAAUGCUCCGAAUAUGGAGUCAUAAGGGACUCCCACAGCAACACCUCAAAUGAAUGUUUUUGGAACGCUCCGAAUAUGGAGUUAAAAGGGAUGCAAAGUGUCUUUUUAAUAUUUUUUUUCUUUGUAUCUAGUCUGUAAGAUGAAAAUGAAAUUUCCUGGAAAGGAACACCACAAAACAAGCUGUUGACGUUAUGACAGGUGCGAAUGCAUUUUGAAGUGCAUUUAAAAGAAAAUUUGCUGGUUCACACAAAAAACUCAAUAGAGCGAGCGCAAUGUGAUUUCACACUUCAAAACACGUCUUUAAAAAAAGAUAAAAAAUAUUUCUUUAUUUAUUUCAUAACUUUUAUCUACUUUUUACUGAAUAAUAUGUUAACCCGCAUCUAUCGGAAAUUUUUUGUAACACAAAGUACGUUGUGCAGCAAUUUCAUACAUAUGGAAAAAGACCCUAGUAUUCAAUGAAAUGUUGGUUUGUUUUAUUUUUUAUUAAUGGCCAACGUUUAUUCACUUCCUGAUAAUAAGAUUAAAAAUGCUUGAAAGAUCUAUACGCAUUUUCCACAAAAACCCAAUUCAAAAUAUUAUCUAUUUUCCUUAAUAUAUCAAUAGGUUUUCGAAAUUGGUACAUAUCAAUUUGAUACACACGAUGGAUGCGGGUUAAAUAAUUUUCGUUGAUUUAAAGAUUUUUCAAUAA